CCUACGGGUGGCAGCAGUGGGGAAUAUUGGGCAAUGGAGGCAACUCUUACCCAGCAAUGCCGCGUGAAUGAAGAAGGUCUUCUGAUUGUAAAGUUCUUUAAUUGGGGAAGAAAAAAAUUACGGUACCCAAGGAAUAAGCCCCGGCUAACUACGUGCCAGCAGCGGCGGUAAUACGUAGGGGGCAAGCGUUGUUCGGAAUGAAUGGGCGUAAAGGGUGUGUAGGCGGUGUAGGGAGUUAGAAGUGAAAUACAUCGAGCUGAACUCAGGUGCUGCUUCUAAAACUGCUAUACUUGAGUGCAUUAGAGGAAAGUGGAAUUCCUAGUGUAGCGGUGGAAUGCGUAGAUAUUAGGAGGAACAUCAGUUGCGAAGGCGACUUUCUGGACUGUAACUGACGCUGAGGCACGAAAGUGUGGGGAGCAAACAGGAUUAGAUACCCUGGUAGUC
rnacentral:rRNA from 1 species